CAAAUUCAAAUUUCUACAGUUCAGAUUCUAGUCUUGUGUCAACAUAGUGACCCAAUAGAAAAGGAACAUUUUAUAAGGUCGAUUACCAACACAUGAGAUCGUAUGUUGUAUGUGCCAACAGAUUUGCUUCUACUAAUGUAUAUGAUUGUAGAAUGUCGAUGUCCUAAAGUAUUUUCGUAUUUAAACGUAACAUUGUUAAUAUGCUUCCAAUCAUUACAUCGAGAUGAACAAUUAAAGAUUGCGUUAAAAGUGAAAAACAAACAAUAGGUAUAAUAAGAAACACAUUUUGUUGUCGAAGAGUAUAAUAAUCAUUUUCUCUCAAGAGUUUCUCCAUCCUUUAAAUUAUUAAUAAAAAACUUUUUAUUUAAAUUUCUUGUUUUUAUUUCACAGCUGGACUUUCUAUAACUUAUAGAAGCUGAUGAGAAAUGAUAAUUUUUCUUUUGGAAAACUUUUAAUCCUUUACGAGUCCACAACACACGCAUUUCUUUUGUUAAAACUGCUCUUAAUGAUGAAAAUUAUGAAAUCAGAUUCUAGUAUCUAGAUUGUCUGACUUAUGUCACACUUUCUCCGAUUUUUCAAUUUUUGAAGGCUAUACUCGUAAAAAACAUUUCUUAAACCCGAACCCAUAUUUUGAAUGUAAAGUGUACUUUUGUAUCAAGCAAGUAUCACUUUUGCUUGUUCAUCACGAUUUGUGCACAAAUCAUUUUGUUGAUGGUAAUAAAUAUAAAUGAUAAUAAGAUUCAAGUAAAAAAUCUGUGAUUGGGUCGACGCCAUGGAGAUUGAACCGAUUCAGACAUUUUGAGCGUGUAUUAAAAUUCAAAAGGAUUUUUUUUCGUACAAAAGUGAAUUUUGAAGUAUUACACGCACGAAAAUGUGAAUUCGUAUUUAAAAAAGAACCCGCUUCUGACUCGGAUGAGAUAAGAACUGCAUGACUGACUUCGGCAAAAGAACUUACGAUAUUUUACGGAUCAUAUUGGAUUCUCAAUUGUGAAUAAAUACAUUAUCUUUUUUUUAAA